GAUGAACGCUAGCGGCGUGCCUAACACAUGCAAGUCGAACGGAGUCCAGCCUUUAAGACCUUCGGGUCAAAGAGGGGAAGACUGAGGCGGACGGGUGAGUAACACGUGGGCAACCUGGCUCAUAGAGGGGGAUAACAGAGAGAAAUUUCUGCUAAUACCGCAUAAGCACACACUGCCGCAUGGCAGAGGGUGAAAAGAGAAUCGCUAUGAGAUGGACCCGCGUCUGAUUAGCCAGUUGGCAGGGUAAGAGCCUACCAAAGCGACGAUCAGUAGCCGAUCUGAGAGGAUGAACGGCCACAUUGGGACUGAGACACGGCCCAAACUCCUACGGGAGGCAGCAGUGGGGGAUAUUGCACAAUGGGGGGAACCCUGAUGCAGCGACGCCGCGUGAGUGAAGAAGUAUUUCGGUAUGUAAAGCUCUAUCAGCAGGGAAGAUAAUGACAGUACCUGAAUAAGAAGCCCCGGCUAACUACGU
rnacentral:rRNA from 1 species